ACCAGACUCCUACGGGAGGCAGCAGUGGGGAAUAUUGCACAAUGGGGGAAACCCUGAUGCAGCGACGCCGCGUGAGUGAAGAAGUAUUUCGGUAUGUAAAGCUCUAUCAGCAGGAACGAGACAAGACGGUACCUGACUAAGAAGCCCCGGCUAACUACGUGCCAGCAGCCGCGGUAAUACGUAGGGGGCAAGCGUUAUCCGGAAUCACUGGGUGUAAAGGGAGCGUAGACGGCUGUGCAAGCCUGAAGUGAAAGGCGGGGGCCCAACCCCCGGACUGCUUUGGGAACUGUACGGCUGGAGUGCAGGAGAGGUAAGUGGAAUUCCUAGUGUAGCGGUGAAAUGCGUAGAUAUUAGGAGGAACACCAGUGGCGAAGGCGGCUUACUGGACUGUAACUGACAUUGAGGCUCGAAAGCGUGGGGAGCAAACAGGAUUAGAUACCCGAGUAG
rnacentral:rRNA from 1 species